GUUUGGAAUGUGUGGUAGCAAUGC
rnacentral:piRNA from 1 species